rnacentral:rRNA from 1 species
GGGAAAACUUAAAGAAUUGUGGGGGACUUUUUCCGCGGGCAGCAGGGAGAAACUCUAAAAAAUUUUUGGGGCCCUUCCUCGCAACUGCUACAUCAAACUCAAAACGAAUUGUCGGUUUCUUCCUCCCCCAUCAUAACGCACCUGAAACUAAGAAAUACACACCUUAACUGAAUUCCAGCAACCGCUGUAAUACAUUAGGGUGCAAGCGUUAAUCGGAAUUACUGGGCGUAAAGCGCGCGCAGGCGGUUCUAUAAGACAGAUGUGAAAUCCCCGGGCUCAACCUGGGAAUUGCAUUCGAUACUGUAUAGCUACAGUAUGGUACAGGAAAACGGAAUUCCACAUGUACCAGUGAAAUGCGUAGAUAUGCGGAGGAACACCAGAUGGCGAAGGCAAUUCUCUGGACCAAUACUGACGCUCAUGCACGAAAGCGUGGGGAGCAAACAGGAUUAGAUACCCUGGUAGUCCACGCCCUAAACGAUGACAACUAGGGGUUGGGACGCUUCACCUUUAAUAACCAAACUUAACCCUAUAACUUAUCCCCUUGGGAAUACCGGCCCCAAGGUUAAACC